rnacentral:rRNA from 1 species
AGUGAACGCUGGCGGUAGGCCUAACACAUGCAAGUCGAACGGCAGCACAGUAAGAGCUUGCUCUUACGGGUGGCGAGUGGCGGACGGGUGAGGAAUACAUCGGAAUCUACUUUUUCGUGGGGGAUAACGUAGGGAAACUUACGCUAAUACCGCAUACGACCUACGGGUGAAAGCAGGGGAUCUUCGGACCUUGCGCGAUUGAAUGAGCUGAUGUCGGAUUAGCUAGUUGGCGGGGUAAAGGCCCACCAAGGCGACCAUCCGUAGCUGGUCUGAGAGGAUGAUCAGCCACACUGGAACUGAGACACGGUCCAGACUCCUACGGGAGGCAGCAGUGGGGAAUAUUGGACAAUGGGCGCAAGCCUGAUCCAGCCAUACCGCGUGGGUGAAGAAGGCCUUCGGGUUGUAAAGCCCUUUUGUUGGGAAAGAAAAGCAGCAGGUUAAUACCCCGCUGUUCUGACGGUACCCAAAGAAUAAGCACCGGCUAACUUCGUG